AACGAACGCUGGCGGCAGGCUUAACACAUGCAAGUCGAACGCCCCGCAAGGGGAGUGGCAGACGGGUGAGUAACGCGUGGGAACAUACCCUUUUCUACGGAAUAGCUCUGGGAAACUGGAAUUAAUACCGUAUACGCCCUACGGGGGAAAGAUUUAUCGGGGAAGGAUUGGCCCGCGUUGGAUUAGCUAGUUGGUGGGGUAAAGGCCUACCAAGGCGACGAUCCAUAGCUGGUCUGAGAGGAUGAUCAGCCACAUUGGGACUGAGACACGGCCCAAACUCAUACGGGAGGCAGAAGUGGGGAAUAUUGGAAAAUGGGCGCAAGCCUGAUCAAGCCAUGCCGCGUGAGUGAUGAAGGCCUUAGGGUUGUAAAGCUCUUUCACCGAUGAAGAUAAUGACGGUAGUCGGAGAAGAAGACCCGGCUAACUUCGUG
rnacentral:rRNA from 1 species